AUAAGCUGUAUUUUCGUGGGCCGA
rnacentral:miRNA from 1 species